UGGGGAAUAUUGCACAAUGGGCGCAAGCCUGAUGCAGCCAUGCCGCGUGUAUGAAGAAGGCCUUCGGGUUGUAAAGUACUUUCAGCGGGGAGGAAGGGAGUAAAGUUAAUACCUUUACUCAUUGACGUUACCCGCAGAAGAAGCACCGGCUAACUCCGUGCCAGCAGCCGCGGUAAUACGGAGGGUGCAAGCAUUAAUCGGAAUUACUGGGCGUAAAGCGCACGCAGGCGGUUUGUUAAGUCAGAUGUGAAAUCCCCGGGCUCAACCUGGGAACUGCAUCUGAUACUGGCAAGCUUGAGUCUCGUAGAGGCGGGUAGAAUUUCAGGUGUAGCGGUGCAAUGCGUAGAGAUCUGGCGCAAUACCUGUGGCGAAGGCGGCCCCCUGGACGAAGACUGACGCUCAGGUGCGAAAGCGUGGGUAGCAAACAGG
rnacentral:rRNA from 1 species